AAUCUUCCGCAAUGGACGAAAGUCUGACGGAGCAACGCCGCGUGAGUGAUGAAGGUUUUCGGAUCGUAAAACUCUGUUGUUAGGGAAGAACAAGUAUCGGAGUAACUGCCGGUACCUUGACGGUACCUAACCAGAAAGCCACGGCUAACUACGUGCCAGCAGCCGCGGUAAUACGUAGGUGGCAAGCGUUGUCCGGAAUUAUUGGGCGUAAAGCGCGCGCAGGCGGUCCUUUAAGUCUGAUGUGAAAGCCCACGGCUCAACCGUGGAGGGUCAUUGGAAACUGGAGGACUUGAGUACAGAAGAGGAAAGCGGAAUUCCACGUGUAGCGGUGAAAUGCGUAGAGAUGUGGAGGAACACCAGUGGCGAAGGCGACCACCUGGGCUAAUACUGACACUGAGGUGCGAAAGCGUGGGGAGCAAACAG
rnacentral:rRNA from 1 species